GCCCAAUAAACGCGCGUGCGCGGAAGAAUUAACCGUUUCCAGAGAUUGAGAACGACUACGAUGAGGUUCCGUGUUUCUGGUGCAGGUAGCCAGUGAACUGAGCGAAGAUCAGCGCAAGGUUUCUUGUAGGCCUAUGUGGACAGGAGGAGCCGCUGCUGGCCUUUAGGACUGGAAAGUAUGCGGUCUGUGGCCACAAUCCCACCUCUUAGCCUGGGAACGGAAGCAGGGAGUCGCGAGGGAAAACAAGCAGACAAUCAGAAAUCUUGGCCUGAAUGAAAGCCACAUUUAGCUCAACCUUGGCAGCCUCUCCUUCAACAACAUCAUUCAAUGUAGCUAUACACCCUUUCAGCACAAAUACAGGCAGUGAAAGUGAUAGUGGACCAGACUUCAUAUGCUCGAAGAUCACUGCUCUUCACUGACCAGCUGACAACCUGUCCAGAGCCAGCUGAUCUAUGCCAAAGUUCUACUUUGAAAAGGGCUUUUCAUGCUAGAAAGACAAACUGUGUCAAAACAAAAGCAAGAUCCUCUGGUAAUGUCACAGGAUGGGUGGUUCUGUUUGGGUAGGUACCCACAGAUGUGUGUCAAUCAUAAGACAGGAAGUGGCACUGAACGUUUACACCCUCACACAUUCACACACCCACAUUGUACUCUUUUAAAAGACAUACAUUGCAAAUAUGUCAUGUGUAGGUUUUUACUCUGCAGCUGCAAUCCUGUUUUACUUGUUUAGAUCAUAGAUGUUUUUUUUUUUAAUUGUUUAUUCCCAUUAACUUUGAGUUUUAUAUGAAAAUCGAAAUUUCCAGUGUUUAAUUAUAUACACAGAUCUAAACGGAUUCUGCCGCUAUGUUGUGCACCAUUGCUGUGGAUCCUAGAGAUUACAUAACAACCCUGCCAAUGGUUUUUAUGUAGAAACAAAAAUAUAGAAGUGUCCAUUCACACACAUAACACUUUUUUGCAUGCUUUCAUCCGCUGCUUUUACUUUUGAUUUUAAUAGGCAAGCAGUUGCAAUGUUUCACUGUCGCUCUUGUGUUUCGAAUCUUGAUGUUCGAAUCUCAUGCUGUCAAUAUAACAGUG
rnacentral:lncRNA from 1 species